UUCUGAAUGGAUAUAAUAGUGAUCAAUUGGAUGACAAAUUGAAUGCAAACCAUCAAAUGAUCAAUAUUUGUACCAAAAGCAUUGUGAUACAUCAAUUCAUCAAAUAUUGAAUUUAAGGAACAUUGCUAAAGCUAGCAUUCAUACAUAUCAUAGACUAAGAAGCUUUUUAAGUUUCCUAAGUUUUGCAUGAUGAAAGAAAGUAUAGCUUUGUAGACCAUGCUUGAUCUCCCAAUGACCCUUGCUUGAUCUUUACUAUUCUCUUUUUUGGUAGCUCCGGCUCCUGAGGUCUUUCUAGCUCCGGCUCCUUGGGUCUCUCAGAAGCAUUGAAAAGAGCAGCCAAAAGUGCUUUUUGUAGAUCAAAUAUCUCCUUUUCUUUUCCAGUAGAUUCUACUGCAUUUGUAUUUGAAGCCCUAUCUCCAUUACUGCAAGAAGACAAACAUAGAUAAGUCAGACUUAUGAUUGUAUAAGCCAAGUACUUUAAGUACUCACCAUCUCCUCCAUUCCCCUCUUCGCAUAGCAAAGAUGGAGAUAAUAAUUAGUAAGUAUAACAAAACUUCAGUAUAGUUUCCUCUCAACUUCAAUAUACAAUCUGGCCUUUCAUGAAUGUUAUAUAUGGUGAUGCAUAUAUAUAUCAUUGAUGCAGCAUUUGAGAGAAAUGAUCCCAUAAUUGACCGACCCAUAAUUAAGAAUCUAUGUAGAUGAUAUAUCUUGACAGCUUGACCCAUGCAAUUUACAUUAAGAAUCAUUAGCUAGUGAUAAGGUGAAAUGACAUUCUUGUAUAGUCUU
rnacentral:lncRNA from 1 species